GUGGAUUAGAUACCCUGGUAGUCCACACCGUAAACGUUGGGCGCUAGGUGUGGGAUCCAUUCCACGGGUUCCGUGCCGCAGCUAACGCAUUAAGCGCCCCGCCUGGGGAGUACGGCCGCAAGGCUAAAACUCAAAGGAAUUGACGGGGGCCCGCACAAGCGGCGGAGCAUGCGGAUUAAUUCGAUGCAACGCGAAGAACCUUACCUGGGUUUGACAUACACCCUGCCGCUCCAGAGAUGGGGCUUCUUUUGGGGGUGUACAGGUGGUGCACGGUCGUCGUCAACU
rnacentral:rRNA from 1 species